rnacentral:rRNA from 1 species
GACGGAGGAUGCAAGCGUUAUCCGGAAUUAUUGGGCGUAAAGCGUCCGCAGGUGGCGAUUUAAGUCUGCUGUUAAAGACCAUAGCUUAACUGUGGGCAGGCAGUGGAAACUGGAUUGCUAGAGUGCGGCAGGGGUAGAGGGAAUUCCCAGUGUAGCGGUGAAAUGCGUAGAUAUUGGGAAGAACACCAGUGGCGAAGGCGCUCUACUGGGCCCCAACUGACACUCAUGGACGAAAGCUAGGGGAGCGAAUGGG